rnacentral:rRNA from 1 species
AACGAACGCUGGCGGCAUGCCUAACACACGCAAGUCGAACGAUUGCCUUCGGGUGAUAGUGGCGCACGGGUGCGUAACGCGUGGGAAUCUGCCCUUAGGUUCGGAAUAACAGCUGGAAACGGCUGCUAAUACCGGAUGAUAUCGCGAGAUCAAAGAUUUAUCGCCUGAGGAUGAGCCCGCGUUGGAUUAGGUAGUUGGUGGGGUAAAGGCCUACCAAGCCGACGAUCCAUAGCUGGUCUGAGAGGAUGAUCAGCCACACUGGGACUGAGACACGGCCCAGACUCCUACGGGAGGCAGCAGUGGGGAAUAUUGGACAAUGGGCGCAAGCCUGAUCCAGCAAUGCCGCGUGAGUGAUGAAGGCCCUAGGGUUGUAAAGCUCUUUUACCCGGGAAGAUAAUGACUGUACCGGGAGAAUAAGCCCCGGCUAACUCCGUG